CACGUGGGAACAUGCCCUUCGGUUCGGAAUAACUCAGGGAAACUUGAGCUAAUACCGGAUACGUCCGCGAGGAGAAAGAUUCAUCGCCGAAGGAUUGGCCCGCGUCUGAUUAGCUAGUUGGUGAGGUAAUGGCUCACCAAGGCGACGAUCAGUAGCUGGUCUGAGAGGAUGAUCAGCCACAUUGGGACUGAGACACGGCCCAAACUCCUACGGGAGGCAGCAGUGGGGAAUAUUGGACAAUGGGCGAAAGCCUGAUCCAGCCAUGCCGCGUGAGUGAUGAAGGCCUUAGGGUUGUAAAGC
rnacentral:rRNA from 1 species